rnacentral:tRNA from 1 species
CGGAAUGUGGCGCAACGGCAGCGCGGCUGGCUCUGGACCAGCAGACCGGGGUUCGACUCCCCGCAUUCCAGCCA